GAUCAUGGCUCAGAGUGAACGGCUGGCGGCAGGCCUAAUACAUGCAAGUCGAACGGCAGCACAGCAGAGCUUGCUCUGUGGGUGGCGAGUGGCGGACGGGUGAGGAAUACGUGGGAAUCUGCCCAGUCGUGGGGGAUAACGUAGGGAAACUUACGCUAAUACCGCAUGCGCCCUUCGGGGGAAAGCCGGGGACCUUCGGGCCUGGCGCGAUUGGAUGAGCCCACGUCGGAUUAGCUAGUUGGCGGGGUAAAGGCCCACCAAGGCGACGAUCCGUAGCUGGUCUGAGAGGAUGAUCAGCCACACUGGAACUGAGACACGGUCCAGACUCCUACGGGAGGCAGCAGUAGGGAAUAUUGGACAAUGGGCGCAAGCCUGAUCCAGCCAUGCCGCGUGAGUGAAGAAGGCCCUCGGGUUGUAAAGCUCUUUUGUCCGGAAAGAAAAGCGCCGGGUUAAUACCCUGGUGUCCUGACGGUACCGGAAGAAUAAGCACCGGCUAACUUCGUG
rnacentral:rRNA from 1 species